GCCCCAGUAACGGCGAGUGAACGGGAACAGCUCAAAUUUGAAAUCUGGCCUCGGCCCGAGUUGUAAUUUGUAGAGGAAGCUUCUGGUGCGGUCUGUUCCGAGUCCCCUGGAACGGGGCGCCAUAGAGGGUGAGAGCCCCGUACGGACGGAUACCAAUCCUGUGUGAAGCUCCUUCGACGAGUCGAGUAGUUUGGGAAUGCUGCUCAAAAUGGGAGGUAAAUUCCUUCUAAAGCUAAAUACCGGCCAGAGACCGAUAGCGCACAAGUAGAGUGAUCGAAAGAUGAAAAGCACUUUGAAAAGAGGGUUAAACAGCACGUGAAAUUGUUGAAAGGGAAGCGCUUAUGACCAGACUUGCGCCAGGCUGAUCAUCCGGUGUUCUCACCGGUGCACUCUGCCUGGCUCAGGCCAGCAUCGGUUUCCGCGGGGGGAUAAAGGUCCCGGGAAUGUAGCUCCUCCGGGAGUGUUAUAGCCCGGGGCGCAAUGCCCUCGUGGGGACCGAGGUUCGCGCAUCUGCAAGGAUGCUGGCGUAAUGGUCAUCAGCGACCCGUCUUGAAACACGGACCAAGGAGUCAAGGUUUUGCGCGAGUGUUUGGGUGUUAAACCCGCACGCGUAAUGAAAGUGAACGUAGGUGAGAGCUUCGGCGCAUCAUCGACCGAUCCUGAUGUAUUCGGAUGGAUUUGAGUAGGAGCGUUAAGCCUUGGACCCGAAAGAUGGUGAACUAUGCUUGGAUAGGGUGAAGCCAGAGGAAACUCUGGUGGAGGCUCGCAGCGGUUCUGACGUGCAAAUCGAUCGUCAAAUCUGAGCAUGGGGGCGAAAGACUAAUCGAACCAUCUAGUAGCUGGUUACCGCCGAAG
rnacentral:rRNA from 1 species